rnacentral:rRNA from 1 species
GAAGAAAGUGGGGGGCGUGCUUAACACAUGCAAGUCGUACGGUAAGGCCCUUUCGGGGGUACACGAGUGGCGAACGGGUGAGUAACACGUGAGUAACCUGCCCACAACUUUGGGAUAACGCUAGGAAACUGGUGCUAAUACUGGAUAUGUGCUCCUGCUGCAUGGUGGGGGUUGGAAAGCUCCGGCGGUUGUGGAUGGACUCGCGGCCUAUCAGCUUGUUGGUGGGGUAGUGGCCUACCAAGGCGGCGACGGGUAGCCGGCCUGAGAGGGUGACCGGCCACAUUGGGACUGAGAUACGGCCCAGACUCCUACGGGAGGCAGCAGUGGGGAAUAUUGCACAAUGGGCGCAAGCCUGAUGCAGCGACGCCGCGUGCGGGAUGACGGCCUUCGGGUUGUAAACCGCUUUCAGCAGGGACGAAGCUUUUUGUGACGGUACCUGCAGAAGAAGCACCGGCUAACUACGUG